rnacentral:rRNA from 1 species
CAGUCGCCGCGGUAAUACGUAGGUGGCAAGCGUUGUCCGGAAUUAUUGGGCGUAAAGCGCGCGCAGGCGGAUAGGUCAGUCUGUCUUAAAAGUUCGGGGCUUAACCCCGUGAUGGGAUGGAAACUGCCAAUCUAGAGUAUCGGAGAGGAAAGUGGAAUUCCUAGUGUAGCGGUGAAAUGCGUAGAUAUUAGGAAGAACACCAGUGGCGAAGGCGGCUUUCUGGACGAAAACUGACGCUGAGGCGCGAAAGCCAGGGGAGCGAACGGGAUUAGAUACCCCAGUAGUCCCUGUCUCUUAUACA